GGGAGUGUAGUUCAGCCCGGGAGAACACGCCGCUGAAGACGGCGAUGUCCCCGGUUCAAAUCCGGGCACUCCCAC
rnacentral:tRNA from 1 species